rnacentral:rRNA from 1 species
ACAGGGAUUGCCCUAGUAACGGCGAGUGAAGCGGCAACAGCUCAAAUUUGAAAUCUGGCUCUCGGGCCCGAGUUGUAAUUUGUAGAGGAUACUUUUGAUGCGGUGCCUUCCGAGUUCCCUGGAACGGGACGCCAUAGAGGGUGAGAGCCCCGUCUGGUUGGAUGCCAAAUCUCUGUAAAGUUCCUUCAACGAGUCGAGUAGUUUGGGAAUGCUGCUCUAAAUGGGAGGUAUAUGUCUUCUAAAGCUAAAUACCGGCCAGAGACCGAUAGCGCACAAGUAGAGUGAUCGAAAGAUGAAAAGCACUUUGAAAAGAGAGUUAAAAAGUACGUGAAAUUGUUGAAAGGGAAGCGUUUAUGACCAGACUUGGGCUUGGUUAAUCAUCUGGGGUUCUCCCCAGUGCACUUUUCCAGUCCAGGCCAGCAUCAGUUUUCCCCGGGGGAUAAAGGCGGCGGGAAUGUGGCUCUCUUCGGGGAGUGUUAUAGCCCGUCGUGUAAUACCCUGGGGGGGACUGAGGUUCGCGCAUCUGCAAGGAUGCUGGCGUAAUGGUCAUCAACGACCCGUCUUGA